GACGAACGCUGGCGGCGUGCCUAAUACAUGCAAGUCGAACGCAGUGGGGACGGGUGAGUAACACGUGGGUAACCUCCCCAUCAGAGGGGAUAACACUUGGAAACAGGUGCUAAACCGAUAUUGAUGGAUGGACCCGCGGGGCAUUAGCUAGUGGGGGAGGUAAAGGCUCACCAAGGCCACGAUGCAUAGCCGACCGGAGAGGGUGAUCGGCCAAACUUGAACUGAGACACGGCCCAGACUCCGACGGGAGGCAGCAGUAGGGAAUCGUCGGCAAUGGACGAAAGUCUGACCGAGCAACGCCGCGUGAGUGAAGAAGGUUUUCGGAUCGUAAAACUCUGUUGUUAGAGAAGCGGUAGCUAACCAGAAAGCCACGGCUAACUACGUGCCAGCAGCCGCGGUAAUUC
rnacentral:rRNA from 1 species